GGGGGCAUAGCUCAGUGGUAGAUCAUCUGCUUUGCAUGUAGAAGGUCCCAGGUUCUAUUCCCGGCAUCUUCA